rnacentral:rRNA from 1 species
GAUGAACGCUGGCGGCGUGCUCAACACAUGCAAGUCGAACGAAGCAUUUCCUUUUCUUCGGAAAAGGAAAUGACUGAGUGGCGGACGGGUGAGUAACGCGUGGGUAACCUGCCUCAUACAGGGGGAUAACAGCUGGAAACGGCUGCUAAUACCGCAUAAGCGCACAAUGCUGCAUGGCAUAGUGUGAAAAACUCUGGUAGUAUGAGAUGGACCCGCGUCUGAUUAGCUAGUUGGUAAGGUAAUGGCUUACCAAGGCGACGAUCAGUAGCCGACCUGAGAGGGUGACCGGCCACAUUGGGACUGAGACACGGCCCAAACUCCUACGGGAGGCAGCAGUGGGGAAUAUUGCACAAUGGGCGAAAGCCUGAUGCAGCGACGCCGCGUGAGCGAAGAAGUAUUUCGGUAUGUAAAGCUCUAUCAGCAGGGAAGAAAAAAUGACGGUACCUGACUAAGAAGCACCGGCUAAAUACGUGCCAGCCGCCGCGGUAA